rnacentral:rRNA from 1 species
UGGGGAAUAUUGCACAAUGGGCGCAAGCCUGAUGCAGCAACGCCGCGUGAGGGACGACGGCCUUCGGGUUGUAAACCUCUUUUAGUAGGGAAGAAGCGAAAGUGACGGUACCUGCAGAAAAAGCACCGGCUAACUACGUGCCAGCAGCCGCGGUAAUACGUAGGGUGCGAGCGUUGUCCGGAAUUAUUGGGCGUAAAGAGCUCGUAGGCGGUCUGUCGCGUCUGCUGUGAAAACCCGAGGCUCAACCUCGGGCCUGCAGUGGGUACGGGCAGACUAGAGUGCGGUAGGGGAGAAUGGAGUUCCUGGUGUAGCGGUGGAAUGCGCAGAUAUCAGGAGGAACACCGAUGGCGAAGGCAGUUCUCUGGGCCGUAACUGACGCUGAGGAGCGAAAGCGUGGGGAGCGAACAGGAUUAGAUACCCUGGUAGUCCACGCCGUAAACGUUGGGCGCUAGAUGUGGGGACCAUUCCACGGUUUCCGUGUCGCAGCUAACGCAUUAAGCGCCCCGCCUGGGGAGUACGGCCGCAAGGCUAAAACU